rnacentral:rRNA from 1 species
UACGUAGGGUGCGAGCGUUGUCCGGAAUUAUUGGGCGUAAAGGGCUCGUAGGCGGUUUGUCGCGUCGGGAGUGAAAACCCAGGGCUUAACCCUGGGCUGGCUUCCGAUACGGGCAGACUAGAGGUAUGCAGGGGAGAACGGAAUUCCUGGUGUAGCGGUGAAAUGCGCAGAUAUCAGGAGGAAUACCGAUGGCGAAGGCAGGUCUCUGGGCUGACACUGACGCUCAUGCACGAAAGCGUGGGGAGCAAACAGG